AGCAAACCUCCAUAACCUUACUUAAAGAACAGAGAGUGUCAAGGAGCAUGGCAGUUAAAUGCAAUACAUACUGCCCAUUCAUUGUUUCCAAUAUGUGGCCAGCUGAUCUACUCGAACCAGCUUGGAUUUCCUAUCAUUAUUAAAUCUGGCUCAAUCUGCAUCCUUUGACCUCUAAUAAAAAAAAUGUUGCUUUUGGUUGAGACAAUAUACCCUCGCUCAAGGACAGCUUAAUAGGUGAAGGCUUUUUAUAAGAUGACACUCGUUUGGGAGGAAUUAUAGGAUCCUCGCCAAGAGGCUUUGCACACCAUGCUCAGAUUUUCAGUUCUGACAAGUUGGGGCCCAUGGUUUGGUUUGGUAAUCCAGAUUCCGGACCAUUAGUUUGUUGCAUCCUACCAUGGAUGAAUGCAUGUUCUCAAAAUCUCCAGAUCGGAAGAUCCUAGCCACCAAUCUUGGGAUUUUUUUU